GACGAACGCUGGCGGCGUGCUUAACACAUGCAAGUCGAACGGAAAGGCCCUGCUUUUGUGGGGUGCUCGAGUGGCGAACGGGUGAGUAACACGUGAGUAACCUGCCCUUGACUUUGGGAUAACUUCAGGAAACUGGGGCUAAUACCGGAUAGGAGCUCCUGCUGCAUGGUGGGGGUUGGAAAGUUUCGGCGGUUGGGGAUGGACUCGCGGCUUAUCAGCUUGUUGGUGGGGUAGUGGCUUACCAAGGCUUUGACGGGUAGCCGGCCUGAGAGGGUGACCGGCCAGAGGGGGACGAGAUGACGGGCCGGAGUCGGACGGGAGGCAGGGGGGGGGAGUAGUGACGGCGGGGGGGAGGCGGGAGGCGGCAAGGCGGGGGGGGGGAUGAGGGCCGGCGGUUUGCUCGCGGCUUUCCCUGGGGCGGGUGGGUGGGGGCCGGUAGGGGGUAAAGAGGCCCCGGCGACGUAGGGGCAAGCGCGGCGGUAAUAAUGGGAAGCGCAGGGGUCCGACC
rnacentral:rRNA from 1 species